rnacentral:rRNA from 1 species
AAANAAGCUACUCUUACGAGAAACACAAAUAAUGAAUAGUAAACUACCAAUUAGAGAUAAAACUAAUUCUAUAUAAAACAAGUACUAUUUGUAAUAAAAAUAACAUAAAUAAAUUCUAAAUUUAUUGCACUAAUCUGCCAAAAUAGUAAUAUUAAUAAAAUUCUUAUUUAAAAUAUAAUUAUUUAAAUAUUUGGUCCUUUCGUACUAAAAUAUUUUAAUUUUUUAAAGAUAGAAACCAACCUGGCUUACGCCGGUUUGAACUCAGAUCAUGUAAGAAUUUAAAAGUCGAACAGACUUUAAAUUUGAACGGCUACACCCAAAAUUAUAUCUUAAUCCAACAUCGAGGUCGCAAUCUUUUUUAUCGAUAUGAACUCUCCAAAAAAAUUACGCUGUUAUCCCUAAAGUAACUUAAAUUUUUAAUCAUUAUUAAUGGAUCAAUUAUUCAUAAAUUAAUGUAAUUUUAAAAUUAAAAGUUCUUAAAAUUUUAAUAUCACCCCAAUAAAAUAUUUUUAAUUAUUAUAAUAAAAUAAAUCUUUAUAAUUAAAAUAACAAAAAUAUAAAGAUUUAUAGGGUCUUCUCGUCUUUUAAAAUUAUUUUAGCUUUUUGACUAAAAAAUAAAAUUCUAUAUAAAAUAUAAAUGAAACAGUUAAUAUCUCGUCCAACCAUUCAUUCCAGCCUUCAAUUAAAAGACUAAUGAUUAUGCUACCUUUGCACAG